rnacentral:rRNA from 1 species
AUACAUGCAAGUCGAGCGAACGGACGAGAAGCUUGCUUCUCUGAUGUUAGCGGCGGACGGGUGAGUAACACGUGGAUAACCUACCUAUAAGACUGGGAUAACUUCGGGAAACCGGAGCUAAUACCGGAUAAUAUUUUGAACCGCAUGGUUCAAAAGUGAAAGACGGUCUUGCUGUCACUUAUAGAUGGAUCCGCGCUGCAUUAGCUAGUUGGUAAGGUAACGGCUUACCAAGGCAACGAUGCAUAGCCGACCUGAGAGGGUGAUCGGCCACACUGGAACUGAGACACGGUCCAGACUCCUACGGGAGGCAGCAGUAGGGAAUCUUCCGCAAUGGGCGAAAGCCUGACGGAGCAACGCCGCGUGAGUGAUGAAGGUCUUCGGAUCGUAAAACUCUGUUAUUAGGGAAGAACAUAUGUGUAAGUAACUGUGCACAUCUUGACGGUACCUAAUCAGAAAGCCACGGCUAACUACGUGCCAGCAGCCGCGGUAAUACGUAGGUGGCAAGCGUUAUCCGGAAUUAUUGGGCGUAAAGCGCGCGUAGGCGGUUUUUUAAGUCUGAUGUGAAAGCCCACGGCUCAACCGUGGAGGGUCAUUGGAAACUGGAAAACUUGAGUGCAGAAGAGGAAAGUGGAAUUCCAUGUGUAGCGGUGAAAUGCGCAGAGAUAUGGAGGAACACCAGUGGCGAAGGCGACUUUCUGGUCUGUAACUGACGCUGAUGUGCGAAAGCGUGGGGAUCAAACA